rnacentral:rRNA from 1 species
UACAGAGGGUGCGAGCGUUGUUCGGAAUUAUUGGGCGUAAAGGGCGCGUAGGCGGUGCGGUAAGUCACCUGUGAAAUCUCCUGGCUCAACUGGGAGCUUGCAGGCGAAACUGCCGUGCUGGAGUGUGGGAGAGGUGCGUGGAAUUCCUGGUGUAGCGGUGAAAUGCGUAGAUAUUCGGAGGAACACCAGAGGCGAAAGCGGCGCACUUGACGGUAACUGACACUCAACUGCGAAAGCGUGGGGAGCAAACAGG